rnacentral:rRNA from 1 species
UGCAAGUCGACCGGAUGACGGGAGCUUGCUCCUUGAUUCAGCGGCGGACGGGUGAGUAAUACCUAGGAAUCUGCCUGAUAGUGGGGGACAACGUUUCGAAAGGAACGCUAAUACCGCAUACGUCCUACGGGAGAAAGCAGGGGACCUUCGGGCCUUGCGCUAUCAGAUGAGCCUAGGUCGGAUUAGCUAGUUGGUGAGGUAAUGGCUCACCAAGGCGACGAUCCGUAACUGGUCUGAGAGGAUGAUCAGUCACACUGGAACUGAGACACGGUCCAGACUCCUACGGGAGGCAGCAGUGGGGAAUAUUGGACAAUGGGCGAAAGCCUGAUCCAGCCAUGCCGCGUGUGUGAAGAAGGUCUUCGGAUUGUAAAGCACUUUAAGUUGGGAGGAAGGGCAGUAAGCUAAUACCUUGCUGUUUUGACGUUACCGA